GAGGGGCAUGGUGGUAGGACGCCUGUAGUCCCGGCUACUCUGGAGGCUGACAUGGAGGAUCGCUUGAGCCCAGGAGUUCUGGGCUGUAGUGUGCUAUGCUGCUCAGGUGUCUGCACUAAGCUUGGCUUCAAUAUGGUGACCUUCUAGAGUGGUGAACCACCAGGUUGCCUAAGGAGGGAUAAACCAGCUCAGGUUGGAAAUGGAGCAGGUCAAAACUCCCAUGCUAAUCAGUAAUGGGAUUGCCCCUGUGAAUAUCCACUGCACUCCAGCCUGGACAACAGAGUGAGACCCCAUCUCU
ensembl:misc_RNA Metazoa_SRP Metazoan signal recognition particle RNA